CCAGCAGCCGCGGUAAUUCCUACGGGAGGCAGCAGUGGGGAAUUUUGGACAAUGGGCGCAAGCCUGAUCCAGCAAUGCCGCGUGGGUGAAGAAGGCCUUCGGGUCGUAAAGCUCUUUCAGUCGAGAAGAAAAGGCUGCAGUGAAUAACUGUAGUUUAUGACGGUAUCGACAGAAGAAGCACCGGCUAACUACGUGCCAGCAGCCGCGGUAAU
rnacentral:rRNA from 1 species